rnacentral:misc_RNA from 1 species
GAUGAAGAACGCAGCGAAAUGCGAUAAGUAAUGUGAAUUGCAGAAUUCAGUGAAUCAUCGAAUCUUUGAACGCACAUUGCGCCCGCCAGUAUUCUGGCGGGCAUGCCUGUUCGAGCGUCAUUACAACCCUCAGGCCCCCGGGCCUGGCGUUGGGGAUCGGCGGAAGCCCCCUGCGGGCACAACGCCGUCCCCCAAAUACAGUGGCGGUCCCGCCGCAGCUUCCAUUGCGUAGUAGCUAACACCUCGCAACUGGAGAGCGGCGCGGCCACGCCGUAAAACACCCAACUUCUGAAUGUUGACCUCGAAUCAGAUAGGAAUACCCGCUGAACUUAAGCAUAUCAAUAAGCGGAGGA